UCACAACCAUCUGUAGUGGGAUCCGAUGC
rnacentral:piRNA from 1 species